CAAUGGAAAUCUAAGAUGCCAGAUUGUCUACUUUGGUCAGCUAGCUGGCGUGAGAUUUUCAAUUCGAGAAAAGUCUGCAAACUCAUUUACAUACAUGGAUUAUCUGUCAUUCUGCCAUGCACCGCCGUAGCAGUCCAAUCACUCGUCACCAUGUAGCCCUGAGUAUUUUUGCCCUGAAAAUUGAUGUGUUAUAGCAAAACAACAGAGCAGAACUUGACACAAAAAUGUUAGACAUACACACCCAGAUGAUAGCUUCCGGUUUUAAAAAGCAGUCUAGUCUUUAUGGCCAUUUCAAGAAGAAAACUUAAGGCAAAUCAUUGAAUGUGGCUAUUACACAAUGCAAUGAAUUAUGCUAAUGCCAGAAAAACAUUUAUUGAUGUGAAUAUAUACCAACCGAAGCUAUAUAGUUCCUACAUCAAUAAUUAGCCUAUAGUCCACGGAUGGUCAGAUCUGUCAAUGAAAAUCUCUUUCAUACACAUGCAUGUAGGCUAUGCAUGUAUUUUUAAUAUCCAUAUAAUUUUGUGUUGUCCAGAGACCACAAAGAGCCAGGACAGGCAGUGAUUGUUAUGAUGAGCUGCUGCAGUCAGCUGAGCCAGGAUCCAAUGGAUAAAAUUUCAGCCUUUUUUCUUUUAUCAGUAAGGAAGGUCACAAGAAGAGACAAACACAGGCUGUAUGGAGGCAUAUGACUUAGGAGCAUUAGAUACUGGAUCUAAACAAGUCAGCCAUCAUGUCUAUCCAUUGACUAGCCUUGGGAAACAGAAGAUGAUACUUUCAGCGACGAUGGUUUAAGUCCAGAGGGCAACAGCCAUGAGGGAAAAGAGACUGAGGUGAACUGUAAUAAAUUUAACAUGUGCAAAGAUGAGUAGUGCAUGCAUCAAUAGUAAAGUUAAGUAGCCUAAUAACUUUUGAAUGUGUGUGUGUGUGAUAAUAUUUAUUAAUUAUAAAGGUACAUAUAACCACCCCAAUCUACUGAUACUGAUCUUUCUUCAAAAAAAAGAAAAGAUAAGCCCCAGGCAAACUUGACUUAGUCCUUGAUCUUUUCAAUAGGUAGAAACGCCCCUGUUGUGGAGUAAAUUAACUCCAUACGAAGAAGCUGUUUCUUUCUGCUGGUUCAGUCCCCUGCUCUCAGCCAACUGCACCUUCCUCCUCCUUGUGUGGAAUCGUAGUUCUAGUCUGGAGCAGAAAGCGCAGGCAGAAGGAACACUUCUUCUCAGUACCUAUCCCUGUCAUUAACCAACGCAUGAGUGUAGUUCCUAUCCAAACACCGACAUUUAGGUUCUGGUAGAGAUUAAUGUCAUACUCUCCAUAAUAUAAACAUGCACAACACUUUGCAAGCUCAGGCACCCAUAUUUCUCGUACUACUCUCGGUGAAGACACCAAUGUCUAAUUAAGUUCAUGGUGUUGAAUGCUUCAGCAGAUGGUCCUCCACAAGCUAUUUCUUUUGUACAUAUGUUGCAAAUUUCAGAUCUUUCAUCUUUAAUAGAUAUCUGGUAGAACUGCCCAACUGGAGAUGACAGUAGAAGCCUCUGAAACUUCAUGUACAUAUUUUAAAUCAUCAAUGCACAUAUUGUACGUCAUCUGCAAAAUCGGUAUCUGAGAUUGAUCAAAUUAAAGGCUGCCAAUUGAGUAAUUAAUGCUGGCCUUACACCAGCUUUUCAAGUGAUUUUACUGAUGCAGACAAAUUUCUGAUAUUGGAAUAAAAUCGUGAGAGUUUUGUUAGUUGUGGCACGCUCCCGUCAUCUCGAUGGUUUGGUGUAAGCUGGUCAGGAUAGCUGUCAUAAGUCAGUUUUUUCUCAUCUUGAUGAUCCAGUAAAAUCAGCCGUGUUUGAUUUUAAUCAUAGGUGUCUAGUCUUGGCUCAUGCAAGUAGCGACAUGGAUAUUGUCAAUAUCCAAUAUGCGAGCUCUCUGCAGCACCAAACAGGAAGCAGCAUAGCAAGUACACAUUAUUGCAGUCCAAAAAACAAUGAAAUGCGUAAUAUGUAAAAUUAUGAAAUCCGUUCACGUAUCUUGGGUUGUGUCCACACUCUGUGGCGUCUUCUUUUUUGCUGAUGUAUUACAUCAAACCCUUGCGCACACAAGAACAGCUGCGACUAAAAGCUGCUUUCGUUUCUGCUCCAUCGUUUAACAGUUUUUCUCCUCCUGUAAAUUUCCACCAGGAGCAGAUUUGGAAAUAAUCUUAAAGAAAUCCAGCUGCAGUCUUGCAAAUAGUGACCCUGGAAGAUCCCCAGUUUUUGCAGAAUCCUAAUCUGUGACAAAGAACUCUGUGUCUCUAGAUGUGAGGGGGUGUCAGACUUUAGUCUUUAAAAAGUCAUUUCAAAGUCUUCUAGUAUAUGUUUAGUAUAAGACUGAAAAUUGGCUUCCAAUCGGCUACCAAUUGAGCGGAGCACCUCUAGUAACGUGUAGUACGAAGAUUUGCUUCAUUAAGUCUAACUAACCAAAUAGCCUUGUAGAGGUUUUACAUGUAAAAACUUGGAGGUGGUCCCUGCUUGGUAGAAAUAUUGAUGAGAUUCCCUCCCUCCUAGUUAUUUUUUAUACCAUUUACCAAACACAUCGAUAGUGUUUAAGCCAUUUAUACACAAUUGUGUUGUUUACAUUGAGUAUCCUUGGCAUUUUAUAGAAUUUGAAUUGUAUCAGCAGACAGACAUUCCUGAUCACUCAGCGAUCCCCAGUUCGUGCUGAACUACUGCCCAAUUAAAUCCAAUUAUUUUGGAUUUAAUUUUAAAUGAUGGAGGAGAUGAACAGGCUUCCACGUGGAAGCAGUAGAAAGGCCAGGAAGAAAGUGGAAUCCUAAAUGCUGUGGUUCUUCCUGAUCUUCAGCCUUUCCCUCAAAUCACCCAGGUACCCAGCAAUGGAGAGACUUUGGGAGGCUAGAAGGAUGGAGCCAGAGAGGGUCCACAGGCACGGCAUGAAGGAGUGUCAGAAUUGGCAGGAGUGAAAAAUACAGUUGACAUGGCGCAGACCUUCACCACCCAGGGCCUGAGGAGCUACGACCCCCAAAUUGAGUUGGACAUCAGUGGCGAACCCCUGAGCCUCCAAGGAAAAAAGGAGAGAUCACAGAAGGGGGAAAAAGAUGACACAUGGAAAGGGAUGAGAUGAAGAAGAAAAGGAGGGAAAUGAGGCGGUGAGCGCAGGGGCACAGUCUUAAAGAGGGAGGUGGUGGACAGAGACGAGGUGAAGAUCAGACAGGAUGGAGAGCGUGGAGGAGAAGUUUGAAGAUGAAUGAAAUGAGGAGGAGAGUGAGGAGGAGGAUCUGGUGAGAAGAGAAAGGAGAUAGGGGUCAGAGAAUGAAAAAGAAGUGAGAGACAAGAGGAAGGAAAUGAAAGGGAAGGAUGAUGGACACUUGACAUAUAUUUACUGAGCAGGAGGAGAUGGAGGAAGAGGAGGCCGUGGAGGUGAAUAGGAAGAUGUCAAGGUUAUGUAGAUGUCAUGAAAAACUAUGGGGCAGACAGAGAAUAAAGCUCUACAAGUAGCUGGAGGAAAGUCAGACCGAGGAAGAAGAGGAGAUGAAAGCGGGAGCAGAGGGAGACGGAGCAGGGUGGCGUUAGCUAAGCAGAGAGGAAAAAGACGGAGGAUGAGAACGAAGACAAGAGGCAUGGAGAAAAUGGGGGAGGACAAAUAGAGAGGUGGCUGAGAAGGAAAAGUUCAACGCCUGUAUAGCCAAGAGGAAGCCGGAAAAUGCGAGUAAGAACAAGGCAGAGAUGCUAUCUGAAGUGUCAAGUCUGAAGCUGGCAUCUGACACCCGCCACUGUUGCUAUGGUUAUGCUUUUAUAUAAGAGAAUCGCAUGCGAUUUGCUUUCUCAUGGAACUCGACUACUCAGCCCAGGCCCAGCUCUUGCAGAGCAGAGAGCGGACUGCGCGGAUAAGGAUAGGGGAGAUGGCUGAGGCACGGGGGAUGAUGGGAAAGAGGCAGCGGCUGUCACAGUGAUGGCUAGGGUGCCAGUGCAAAGGGCCCGGAAGCAGUGAAGUACAGCUCAUUACUUACUGCAGCUGGCAAUUAAUGAAAGUGCAGUGUCAUAAGCUCACUGUUUUAAUAACUCUCAUUAUACUUUAUUAGCCAGCGAGAUUCCUAUGUAAUCUAAUAAUGACCUUCCGUAUCAUUAUUAAUAUAAAUUCUUAACAGAAACAUUUAAAUGUUUCUAGAUUUUCCCGGACUGCUUUAAUUGUAACAGUGAUGUAGACAUCCCGUAAUUUAGAUGACAAAGCUUGUAACAUUAGUUCUGUCCCGGUUUCAGCCAAUGAGCCGAGAGCGCAAAUCAGAGAGCGGGAAGUCACAGAUGGGGACAGAGCGGGGUGACGAAGAGGGAAAAGGGGGAGGCAGGAAGCUAAGGAGGAUAGAGGAGAGGGGGGGACAGAUAGCCAAACCCCUCAGGAAAAAGAGAAUGUGGUUAAAAAUAAAGUACGGUGAGGAGAUUUGGAGGGAAGGAGAUGGUAGCGGAAAAACGGCUGCAUGAGGCAAAUGAGAAAAUGGAGGACAAAGCAUGAUGUGGAGACAGAGGAAAGGACAAAGGGGACCCGGCUUCACGGGGUUCCCGAAAAGGAAAGAAUCUCACACUGGCCUGGCGAGAGGACAAUCAACCGAGGUCCUAAAGGAAGGACACAUAGAUGGGAUGAGGCAUCAUCUGCUAAAAGGCCAUGAGACUGCAUUUGUGUCUGAUACACACCUUCCUAACGUUCUAGCCCUGAGUCAGCUAAAAAGCGCCUGACCUGGGCCUGUGCCUCACAGCCAGGAGAGGAACGGGGGAGGAACGAAAACAACCGAAAUUCUGUCAGAGAAGUGAAGACAGACUAAGGCCAUGAGACCGCAAACUGGUACGGAUUGAGGCCUGAUUUACCGACGGCUGUGAAGGCUGCAGUAAUGUCUAAUCCAGGCUGUCUCAGGGCAAUGGGAAUUCCGCAGAGAGCUGGAACGUGAAUGUGAGGCAGACUGAGGUCACAGAUGGGAAGAGAUGGUGACUGUAACAGCGUGCUUCCCUGACGUGGUAGACAGGGGGGGCUUGUGAGCUAUGCGGGCAGCAGAGCAGAUGAAGGAGCUUAUUGGGAGUGCCAGGGAACAUCUCGGGGAAAAUAUUUACACACCAUGGACUGCAGACAGACAAGAAGGAGGUGAAGAGGAAGCAGAGGCAAACUCAUGCAUAUGUACCAUGUUCCCAAAGUAAUGUAUAGCAUUAAUAAGUAACAAACCAGCUACAAAUACAGUAAUUACAAUGCAUUAUUAAUUCAACUAAAUGUUUGAAAUGAAUUUCUGAGUAAUUGCCAUUGGAACAUAUUCAGGACACAUAUUCCAAAAACAGCUUUCAUUGCCAUACUGAAUUCUGUGUUUACUUUAAAAACUCUUGCGUACAAAAAUAAUAAUAUUCACUGCCCAACUGCUAUGUUCUCAAAGGACUGAACAUAACUCUGUAAACAAUCAAUUAGCAUCUUGGAUACCAGGGCACUUUGUGUAAUUGUAGCGUUAAUUGAAAUCCAAAUAAGAAGCUUAAGAUAUGUUAACAGAUUAGAAAGGGUUCAUCCUGAUGAUACGGUACUGUAAUACUGUUCUAAAAAUGCUAUUUUUGUCUGUACCUGACCUGUCAAGGCUUGUGAUGGAGAUGAUAGGUCAAGUUCACACCUCAUUGAUCUAUUUUGUAAAAUGAUGAGGAGAAGCACGUUUCAAUCUUAUUAUAAUAUAAAUAUGCUGCUUUUAAAGUUAUAAUUAAUGGAUUAUUGAAAUUUAUAUAUAACUAUCUUUAAAAUGUAUUUCGAUUAGCAGAAAUGUAAAUGCAUUUAUGUUAAGCAUUUUGUCUACAUGUUCAGCUUCAUUCAUAAUGUCGGCUAGCAAAGCAUGGAAUAUGUAUCCCAUCCACAGGUAUUUCUAGUUAAGUACAAGGCUUACAAAUAAUGACGUUCCCUUCAUCUAGGAGCAACAGGAAAUGGGGCAUCUUAUAUUUCUCAUGUUCCUUAGUCAUCCACUAGGUGUCAGUAGAGAUCCAGCUAAUUUUAUCUGGCGUACGUCUUUGUAUGUGGUCUGUUUUCAGUCUAGGUAAUGCAAUGUGGAAUCCACACAUGGUAUUAAUAAAACAAUCAUAUAAUAAAA